CUUCCAUGCUCUAAUAUCUAUCUGUGUUGCAAAUUUGGUGGGAAUUCGUGAAGUAGUUAUGAUGAAAUCUUGCAAAACCUAUAUAAAGUGAAAUCUUGAUCCAGAAUUCAGAUCUGGUGACGCAGACUAAACAGU